CGCAACCUAGCGGAAAUUUUGCACAGCCUUCUCAGUUCUCCAUAGUGGCAUCCGUUUCCGCAGAGCUGCUGUGAGAUUUUGUAAACAUUGUGAUUGUAUUGUAUUAUGUUUAUUUUUUGUACCAAAUUGCGUUUGACACGACCUUAAUAUGACGUCUAGUGCAGGAAUUCCUUCGUCGACGAUAAAUUAUUUGAUCGUAACUGCAAAUGUUGGUACAUUAUUUGAAAAUCCUCUUGGAAUUCAAGAUGUUUGGAUUAAGGAAUUUUCUUUGGUAAGUUUCUUUAGUUUAAUGCAGGUCGCAACUUUUGAAUCAUUUUUACAGUGGUUGCGAUCCUGGAAAUCAUAACAUUGCGAAUUCUAGUGAAAACUGGGGGGGGAGGGGGCAAGAUUUAAGUUAUAUUUUCGGUUAUCAUAAAUUGUAUAAGAACUCAGGGCUGUAUAGUUACUUGUUUUAUGUGCUUGUCCGAAGGACAACCUAAUGCAUUAGUUUACUUUUUCCAACAAAAUUUUUUACUUGUCGCAUUGAAAUGAACAAUGUCUUCAAAUGCGGCAACAAAGAACUAGUCUUCUCAAAUCUGUUCGGCAGCCAAGCUAAAUCUUUGUAACUAAAUAACAUAGGUUUACUCAUGGAAAGAAGAGGGAAGGGAGAGUGUAAUACUAUGGUUUAACAGCUAGUGCUUUUUAACAUGUAAAAUAAUGAAGUGUUGUGUGAAAAAAAUAUAAAGAUAUAUGAAUUUGUCGAUACAUCGAACAUACGAAUUUGUCAAUACACCUUGUACUUAACAUUUGA